rnacentral:rRNA from 1 species
GACGAACGCUGGCGGCGUGCUUAACACAUGCAAGUCGAACGGUAAGGCUCCAGCUUGUUGGGGUACACGAGUGGCGAACGGGUGAGUAACACGUGGGUGACCUGCCCUGCACUUCGGGAUAAGCCUGGGAAACUGGGUCUAAUACCGGAUAGGACCGCACCGAGGGGGGGGGGCGGAAAGUCUUUUCGGUGUGGGUUGGGCGCGCGGCCUAUCGGCUUGUUGGUGGGGUAAUGGCCUACCAAGGCGGCGACGGGUAGUCGGCAUGAGAAGGUAGACGGCCACCAUGGGACUGAGGGACGGACCAGACUGCUACGGGAGGCAGCAGUGGGAAAUAUUGCACAAUGGGCGGAAGCCUGAUGCAGCGACGCCGCGUGGGGGAUGACGGCCUUCGGGUUGUAAACACCUUUCACCAUCGACGAAGGGUUUCUGACGGUAGAUGGAGAAGAAGCACCGGCUAACUACGUG